GUUAACCAGGAUGGUCUCGAUUUCUUGACCUCGUGGAUCCACUCUCCUCGGCCUCCCAAAAUGCUGGGAUUACAGGAGUGAGCCACCGCGCCCAGCUGGCAGAGGUCAACAAUCAGCCUUCAGAUGGUUCAAAUUAGUCAACAUAGAUCAGAGCUGAACCCAUGCCCUAGAAGUGAACAUAAUUUCUCCUGUGAGAAAUCACCUGGCAGCAGACUACAAGGUGAAGAAGAACAUGUUUGCUUCCCCUUCUGCCAUGAUUGUGUUUUCUGAGGCCUUCCCAGCCAAGCAGGAGUGAAGAAGGAGAAUCUACACAUUGGUGCUUCUUAAUUGUUGCCAAAGGAAACCUGACAAAAACCCAUGGAUUCAAUGGGAGUAUUAAUAAGCCAAUCAACAGAUGGCUAAUUGUACCACUGAAAAAUGAAAAUACAUUAAUUCUCACUUGCUCUCAUCUAUUGGGAGAUAAAAGUGAAAUUAUUGCUUUCUAUCUUAAUAUAUUUAUGUAAUUUAUGUGCCAAGAUGUUUUAGUGAAAUAAUCUGAAGUAAGUAAUAAAAGACUAUAAAGGAGUAUCCUGAAAUUUUGA
rnacentral:lncRNA from 13 species